rnacentral:rRNA from 1 species
GAUGAACGCUGGCGGCGUGCCUAAUACAUGCAAGUCGAGCGAACGGACGAGAAGCUUGCUUCUCUGAUGUUAGCGGCGGACGGGUGAGUAACACGUGGAUAACCUACCUAUAAGACUGGGAUAACUUCGGGAAACCGGAGCUAAUACCGGAUGAUAUUUUGAACCGCAUGGUUCAAAAGUGAAAGACGGUCUUGCUGUCACUUAUAGAUGGAUCCGCGCUGCAUUAGCUAGUUGGGAAGGUAACGGCUUACCAAGGCAACGAUGCAUAGCCGACCUGAGAGGGUGAUAGGCCACACUGGAACUGAGCCACGGUCCAGACUCCUACGGGAGGCAGCAGUAGGGAAUCUUCCGCAAUGGGCGAAAGCCUGACGGAGCAACGCCGCGUGAGUGAUGAAGGUCUUCGGAUCGUAAAACUCUGUUAUUAGGGAAGAACAUAUGUGUAAGUAACUGUGCACAUCUUGACGGUACCUAAUCAGAAAGCCACGGCUAACUACGUG